rnacentral:rRNA from 1 species
CCUACGGGAGGCAGCAGUGGGGAAUAUUGCACAAUGGGGGAAACCCUGAUGCAGCGACGCCGCGUGAGUGAAGAAGUAAUUCGUUAUGUAAAGCUCUAUCAGCAGGGAAGAAAAUGACGGUACCUGAGUAAGAAGCCCCGGCUAACUACGUGCCAGCAGCCGCGGUAAUACGUAGGGGGCAAGCGUUAUCCGGAUUUACUGGGUGUAAAGGGAGCGUAGACGGCAGUGCAAGUCUGGAGUGAAAGGCGGGGGCUCAACCCCCGGACUGCUCUGGAAACUGUACGGAUGGAGUGCAGGAGAGGUAAGUGGAAGUCCUAGUGUAGCGGUGAAAUGCGGAGAUAUUAGGAGGAACACCAGUGGCGAAGGCGGCUUACUGGACUGUAACUGACGUUGAGGCUCGAAAGCGUGGGGAGCAAACAGGAUUAGAUACCCCAGUAGUC